rnacentral:misc_RNA from 1 species
GAGAAGAACGCAGCGAAAUGCGAUAAGUAGUGUGAAUUGCAGAAUUCAGUGAAUCAUCGAAUCUUUGAACGCACAUUGCGCCUCCUGGUAUUCCGGGAGGCAUGCCUUCGAGCGUCAUUAAAAUCACUCAAGCUUAGGUUUACCUAUUGCUUGGUCUUGGAGAUGGAAGCCAAUUUAUUGGAAUCCUCUUCGAAAUUCAAUGGCGAAGACCCUUGCUCUCCCAAGUGUAGUAAUAACUUAUGUCACUGAAGGAAGCGAGAAAUCUUCUGCCGUAACCCCCAUAUUUUCUAUGAUUGACCUCGGAUCAGGUAGGGAUACCCGCUGAACUUAAGCAUAUCAAUAAGCGGAGGA